GGAAGGGAUGUAUUUAUUAGAUAAAAAACCAAUGCCUUCGGGCUUCUUGGUGAUUCAUGAUAACUUUACGAAUCGCAUGGCCUUGCGCCGGCGAUGGUUCAUUCAAAUUUCUGCCCUAUCAACUUUCGAUGUUUGGGUCUUGGCCAAACAUGGUUGCAACGGGUAACGGAGGGUUAGGGCUCGACCCCGGAGAAGGAGCCUGAGAAACGGCUACUACAUCCAAGGAAGGCAGCAGGCGCGCAAAUUACCCAAUCCCGACACGGGGAGGUAGUGACAAUAAAUACUGAUACAGGGCUCUUUUGGGUCUUGUAAUUGGAAUGAGUACAAUUUAAACCUCUUAACGAGGAACAAUUGGAGGGCAAGUCUGGUGCCAGCAGCCGCGGUAAUUCCAGCUCCAAUAGCGUAUAUUAAAGUUGUUGCAGUUAAAAAGCUCGUAGUUGAACCUUGGGCCUGGCUGGCAGGUCCGCCUCACCGCGUGUACUUGUCCGGCCGGGCCUUUCCUUCUGGAGAACCUCAUGCCCUUUACUGGGUGUGCUGGGGAACCAGGACUUUUAC
rnacentral:rRNA from 1 species